rnacentral:rRNA from 1 species
AAAUUUUUGAAGUUAUUUUAGCUUUUUUGUUGGGUGAAAUCAGUAUAAAGAGUUUUUCCUUCUUUAAAAAUUAAUAGGAAUUAAAAAACUCUGAUUUAAAACCAGGAUUAGAUACCCUGUUAUUCUGAGUUAUAUUUAGACAGGGUAGUAAAAGUUGUUCUUCAAACCCAAAGAUUUUGGCGGCACUUUAUCCAAAUAGAGGAGCUUGUCCCUUAAUCGAUAGUCCCCGUUUUAUCUUUCCUCUGUUUGUAGAGCUUGUAUACCGCCGUUGUCAGAUUACUUCUAGAGAAUGUUUUCAAAUUAAAAGAUUUUUUUACUUCAGGUCAAGGUGCAGUUUAUAUAGAGGUGGAGGUGAGCUACAAUUUUCUUUACAAAUAUGGAUACUAAGUCUCGAAGCUGGUUGAAGGUGGAUUUAUUAGUAAAGUAA